AAUGACUGAGUGUACAUCAGUGCUGUGGGCUCCUGUUUGUGUGGUGAGAAAGCCAACCUUGAAGAGCUGGGUAUU